UACGGGGUGCAGCAGGCGCGAAACCUUUACACUGCACGACAGUGCGAUAGGGGGACUCCGAGUGUGAGGGCAUAUAGCCCUCGCUUUUCUGCACCGUAAGGUGGUGCAAGAAUAAGGACUGGGCAAGACCGGUGCCAGCCGCCGCGGUAAUACCGGCAGUCCAAGUGAUGGCCGAUAUUAUUGGGCCUAAAGCGUCCGUAGCUUGCUGUGUAAGUCCAUUGGGAAAUCGACCAGCUCAACUGGUCGGCGUCCGGUGGAAACUACACAGCUUGGGGCCGAGAGACUCAACGGGUACGUCUGGGGUAGGAGUGAAAUCCUGUAAUCCUGGACGGACCACCAAUGGGGAAACCACGUUGAGAGACCGGACCCGACAGUGAGGGACGAAAGCCAGGGUCUCGAACCGGAUUAGAUACCCGGGUAGUCCUGGCUGUAAACAAUGCUCGCUAGGUAUGUCACGCGCCAUGAGCACGUGAUGUGCCGUAGUGAAGACGAUAAGCGAGCCGGCC
rnacentral:rRNA from 1 species